UAUGCUUAAGGUUUAUGAGCCCUUCUGUAGCAAUUUUUGUACGAAUUUUUCAAACUUCAAUUGUAUCAAAACUACAGAUAUAAUGAAUAAUAGAGAUAGGCCAUUUAGUACAUGUACCAAGGGGAAACUUGAUUUAAAGCAUAAUUAUUUACUGUUUCAUUGCAUUUACUAGAAAAAGAGUACUUUGUGGCAAAUAAACCAAGAUUCUUAUAGAAAAUCCACAGCCUUUAAUACAGAGAUUUUCGUUAUAAAAUUUGAAACAUAGAUUACUCACUUGCUUUUCUAUGAUGUGCUAGUGUUCAUUUUCUACAAAAUGUUCU
rnacentral:lncRNA from 1 species